rnacentral:rRNA from 1 species
ACGUGGAACCGAGGCUAAUACCGCAUAAUACCCACGGGUCAAAGGAGCAAUUCGCUUGAGGAGGGGGUCGCGGCCGAUUAGUUAGUUGCGGGGUAAUGGCCCCACCAAGACGGUGAUCGGUAUCCGGCCUGAGAGGGCGCACGGACACACUGGAACUGAAACACGGUCCAGACUCCUACGGGAGGCAGCAGUGGGGAAUUUUGCGCAAUGGGGGAAACCCUGACGCAGCAACGCCGCGUGGAGGAUGAAGUCUCUUGGGACGUAAACUCCUUUCGAUCGGGACGAUUAUGACGGUACCGGAAGAAGAAGCCCCGGCUAACUUCGUG